GGGGUUGUGGCUCAGUGGUAGAGCACUUGCCUAGCACGUGUGAGGCCCUGGGUUCAAUCCUCAGCACCG
rnacentral:tRNA from 1 species